UACGAAGGGGGCUAGCGUUGCUCGGAAUCACUGGGCGUAAAGGGCGCGUAGGCGGCCUGAUCAGUCGGGGGUGAAAGCCUGUGGCUCAACCACAGAAUGGCCUUCGAUACUGUCGGGCUUGAGACCGGAAGAGGUAAGUGGAACUGCGAGUGUAGAGGUGAAAUUCGUAGAUAUUCGCAAGAACACCAGUGGCGAAGGCGGCUUACUGGUCCGGAUCUGACGCUGAGGCGCGAAAGCGUGGGGAGCAAACAGGG
rnacentral:rRNA from 1 species